CAGCAACUGUCAUCUGUGUUUACACUGUGCAGAAACUCACCAGGGCUGAAAAGUGAGAAUUUUCUUCCUGUGAACCAGGAGCAGAAGAUACGUGGCGGGGGGGAAGGGCAGUGACAGUGCUAGUCUUCUGUAGGCAAGCAGGAGGUACACAGAAGGAGGAAGAGGUGAGACAGCACCUUCAGCUGCAACAACCAGAAUAUCAUGAAUGAGACUACUUUUCUCCCCGACAAACUUCCAAAUCUCUACCUUUGCAGACUAAAAGUACAAUUUUACACUUUUCCAUACAAGGUAAAGUACCAAGGAGAAUAUAAUCACAACCCCAGCCACCUUUUAUACAGCUAAGAAAAAAAAAAAAAGCUUUUCGUAACAUGAAGAUGUUGUCCCUGCUGCUCUCAUUUUGUGGGUUCUUUUAUUGCUGUUCUCUCCCAGCAUCCACAACCUGCCAAAAGCAAAGGCUGAAGUGGUCUUGGACAGGAACGCUGCAUAAUGUGCUGCUUGAUAAAACAUGCAUGACCUUGUUUCCUGUAACAUUUUUCAGUGAAAAAUGUGGGGGAGGGAAAGACUAGUAAAUCUGAGACACAGUCAUCAAAAAUGUGAAAACAUCUGGACAAAUGAAGUUAUCCUCUACUUCUAUCCCAGCUUUUACACCAUCUGAAGAGAACCUGAAAACCUGCUUUAACAAAUUAGCAUUCUGCAGAAAUAACUGUCAACAUGUAAACAGGAUAACGUUUAAGUCAGAGUGAAUCAGCGAUCUCUACCCAGCAGCCCGGAGCACCAGAUGCCAGUCUCUUCUUCGGACUCUCCAAAAACACUCUUUUCAUCUUACCCUGCUUUUCCAGCUUCAAUUUACAAAUUGUGUGUAUCAAUAUGACUGACCUGAUGCAAAUUUCACGUACAAAUUCCCUCCUUAAGGUGCAGGGGGUUUCUAGGGGAUUUUGGUGGUGUUCCCCCCGUCCCCCACCUUUGAAAAGUGCUUGAAGUGUUGUAGAGGAAAAUAAA